rnacentral:rRNA from 1 species
GAUGAACGCUGGCGGCGUGCCUAACACAUGCAAGUCGAACGAAGACAUACCGACGGAAUCCUUCGGGAGGAAGAUGGUAUGGACUGAGUGGCGGACGGGUGAGUAACGCGUGGGUAACCUGCCCUGUACAGGGGGACAACAGUUAGAAAUGACUGCUAAUACCGCAUAAGCGCACAGUACCGCAUGGUACAGUGCGAAAAACUCCGGUGGUACAGGAUGGGCCCGCGUCUGAUUAGUUAGUUGGCGGGGUAACGGCCCCGACCAAGACGACGAUCAGUAGCCGGCUUGAGAGAGUGAACGGCCACAUUGGGACUGAGACACGGCCCGAAACUCCUACGGGAGGCAGCAGUGGGGAAUAUUGCACAAUGGGCGCAAGCCUGAUGCAGCGACGCCGCGUGAAGGAUGAAGUAUUUCGGUAU